UAUUUAAACACCAGGUAUAUUAUAAAUAUAUAAUAUUGAAUAAUUCUACCAAAUGAAUGCUAAAUUAUGCAUAUUGCGGCCAUUGCUGAUAGUUUACAAUACUUUGUUUUUUAAACUGCUGCUAGUGUACAGUGUUAUGUAUAGUGUUGAUUUCUAUUUAAAUGUUUUUUGUCUGGCUAUAUUUUAGGUCUACAAAGAUCGGGUUCCUCUCUAGGGAGGACAUGAGGUCUUGGCUCACACCUCAGGAGAACCAUGCUUGAAAGACUUGUUGCUGUCCCUGUCCAAAGUCCUCCUGGUUGUGUUGCAGAUCGACACAAUACCUUACGAUUUCAGCAGCCAUUCUGCUGACCCCCCCAGACUAUCCACCACAGAUGUGUCAUCUGCACAGAGCAGGGUGAAUGCACGCAAGGCUGCCGGUCCUGAUGACGUCCCCGGGCGUGUGCUCAGAGCACGUGCUGGGCUGGUGGCUGAGCGCUAUACAGACAUUUUCAACCUGUCACUGGCCCAGGCAGUUGUUCCAACGUGCUUCAAGACCACAACCAUUGUGCCAGUACCAAAGCAUUCGACUGUGUCUAGCCAGAAUGACUUCUAACCUGUCACACUCACCCCCAUGAUCAUGAAGUGCUUCAAAAGACUAGUUUGGGCCCACCUUAACUCCUGCCUCCCCCCAAAACUGGAUCCCUACAAUUUUGCCUACCGGUUGAACAGGUCUAAAGAGGACACCAUCUCUACAGCUUUACACUCUGCCCUGACCCACCUGGACAAAACCAACACAUAUGUGAGAAUUCUAUACUUAGACAUCACCUCAACAUUCAAAACUGUCAUCCCCUCUAGGCUGGUCAAGAAACUCCAUGACCUGGGGAUCAGCCCCUCUCUCUGCAACUGAACUUUGGACUUCCUAACCGACAGACCCCACUCUGUCAGGUUAGACAACUUCACUCGGAUCCUGAACACUGGUGUUUCACAAGGGUGUAUGCUGAGCCCCCUCCUGUACUCCCUCAACUGCGUUCCUGUACACAGUUCCAACACCAUCGUCAAGUUCGCAGACGGUGCAAGGUCUGAUCAGUGACAAUGACGAGUCAGCCUCCAGGAAGUAGGUCAAACGCCUGGCGGUGUGGUACGCUGACAACAAUCUGGCCCUCAAUGCAAAGAAAGGAGCACAAUGUGGAUUACAGGAAGUCUAAAGUUUGCAGUCACACCCCAGUUCUCAUGGGUGGUACUGAGGUGGAGUGUGUGUCCAGCUUCAAAUUCCUGGGUGACCUCACCUGGACCCUAAACACCUCAACCCUAGUCAAAAAAGUGCCUGUACUAUUUGAGGAGGGUGAGGAAGGCUCGCUUGUCUUCCCAUAUCCUCGUGAAAAUCUACUGCAGCACAAUCAAGAUAAUUUUGACAAACUGUGCCACAUUAUGGCCCUACAAUGGGUGGUGAAAAUCACCCAGUGCAUCACUGGUGCCCAGCUCCGGGCCAUCGUGGACCUUCAGCACAAGCGGUGUCUGCACAGGGCUAGCGGCCUCAUCAGAAACCCUUCACACCCAUGCCACACACUGUUUGCCCUCCUACCAUCAGGCAGGCGGUACAGGUCUCUUCGUUCCCGCACCAACAGGCUCAGGAACAGUUUCUUUCCAUCGACUGUAAACCCUGCUGAACUCUGUGACCCAGAGAACUAUGUGAACUCUGUGACCCAUGACUAACCAUACCCCCUGUCUCUAAGGGACCUUGUUGCACUAUUCCCUUUGUACUACUCUGAAAGUCUGAUAAUGGACGUUUUUUGUUGUUACAGGUAUGUGUAUACCUCGGGAUCCUCACUGCUGUUAUCCCUGCAUUUCAGUCGCACAUGCAAAAUCAGUUUGCCUCUUCAAUUUGCACAUUUAUAAUUGCCAUCAUACUUGCAUUUCUGAAGUUGUUACAUAAGCAUGUCUACCUAUGGGACCUCAUUGCCGCUAUCUCUGCAUCCCGGUUGCACAUGCUACCUUACUGCUUCAGUUUGCCUCGAUUGCACAUCUAGAAUGCCAUUUAGAAUUGCCAUUUGUUCCCGCACAAAUAUCCCACUUGUAACAUACACUAUACUUUAUACUUUGCUCGUAUAUUCUUAACUUCUCAUUACGUAGUUGUCGGGUGCCAUGUCAAGAAUUUAAUUGUGCUGGAUGACGCUGUGUUUUUUAGUGCAUUUGGCAAAUAAACCUUGAAACUAUAACCUGUAGUUGACAAAAGAAGCAUGUUUCCCUGCUUGUAUAUUGCAACUGCCACUGUACCACCGCUAUCACUUCCCAGUGGCGUAGUGGUUAGAGAAUGUGUCCUUAGUGUUCAAUCAUGGCAGGUUCUAGGCAUGUCUCAUGUUAUGUAGUUUUUUGUGUCAUGCACGUAUAUAAAAGGUAAUGUAAUACAAUUAAUCUCUUUAAUGUAUUAUGAGUUUCAUGGUAUAACAGAGUGG
ensembl:lncRNA